UACGUAGGGUGCGAGCGUUAAUCGGAAUUACUGGGCGUAAAGCGUGCGCAGGCGGCGCGUUAAGACAGGUGUGAAAGCCCCGAGCUUAACUUGGGAAUUGCGCUUGUGACUGGCGUGCUGGAGUGUGGCAGAGGGAGGUGGAAUUCCACGUGUAGCAGUGAAAUGCGUAGAUAUGCGGAGGAACACCGAUGGCGAAGGCAAUCCCCUGGACCUGUACUGACGCUCAUGCACGAAAGCGUGGGGAGCAACAGG
rnacentral:rRNA from 1 species